GUUUGCUGCCAUACUUCUAUGCCAGCUUGCUUUUGUCGGAUCUUGAAAGAUAAACAGGGCUGGGGCUGGUCAGUACCUGGAUGGGAGACCCCUUGGACACACCAGCAAUGCCACUG
rnacentral:rRNA from 1 species